GACGAACGCUGGCGGCGUGCUUAACACAUGCAAGUCGAACGGAAAGGCCCUGCUUGCAGGGUACUCGAGUGGCGAACGGGUGAGUAACACGUGGGUGAUCUGCCCUGCACUUCGGGAUAAGCCUGGGAAACUGGGUCUAAUACCGGAUAGGAGCCAUUUUUAGUGUGAUGGUUGGAAAGUUUUUUCGGUUUAGGAUGAGCUCGCGGCCUAUCAGCUUGUUGGUGGGGUAAUGGCCUACCAAGGCGGCGGCGGGUAGCCGGCCUGAGAGGGUGGACGGCCACACUGGGACCGAGGGACGGCCCAGACUGCGAAGGGAGGGAGCAGGGCGGAAUAUUGACCGAUGGGCGCCAGGCUGAUGAAGCGACGCCGCGUGGCGGAUGACGGCCUUAGGGUUGUAAACUCAUUUUGUAAGUGACGAAGCUUUUUGUGACGGUACCUAGACAAGAAGCACCGGCUAACUACGUG
rnacentral:rRNA from 1 species